rnacentral:miRNA from 1 species
AUUCAACGAUUAAGAAAUAGGACC